CUCUUAUAACCCUUGGUUGUUAUAACAAUCACCAUCUCCUUUACCAGCCAAGGUACAGGUUUUACAUUGGGUCCUUGGGGAGAUAAUUCAUUAGUUAAUUUUUUACAGACUAUCAGUAUUGGAAAUGGACUUUCCAAUUGUUGGAUUUGCCACCCACUUCACACAUCUAUUAGAGUCAUGUGCCUGUGUGUGUUAGGAAUUUAACCCUUACCCUUACUUCAGAAUGAACCAAGAUGAAACCUUUAUAAAUAUCUUUCCAGAUAUUAUACUGUUUUCUGUGUGCUGAGCUUACACCCUGCUUUUACCACUCUAAUAAGAUGGAAGUACUUUAUGCUCUAUACUAUCAAUCCAACAGGUCAUGUUGUCCCUGCUGGGAACUAUGUUCUACUCAAUACAGUGCUCAAAGCCAAUAUUUCCCAAAUUAUUCCCCUUUAUAUGAUAACUACUCUCCUAACUUGACCCAUUGGUACCCCAGUGCUUACACCUACCUAAACAGAAACUGGCACCCCUAUGUGGAUGACUGUUCUAUAUGUUAGGGACAGAUCUCUGUCACUUGGCAGGUGGCUUUCAGCCAUACACCUAAAGCCAUACACCAUGAUGUCAUUAACCCUGCCUGUGCCUCCUGAAGCUCUGUCUAGCUCAUGUAUAGAUUCUUCUCUGUGGGUCCUCAAAAUCCUUCUUGGUUAAAUCACUCAGCCAUCCACAGGCAUGUGCCCCUCCAGGAUACACAUUUAUAUAUGGCCCCAACAACUACCUGUUACCCUUUGAGGGUAAUCCUGUUCCCCAGCUUACAAACCAAGUUAUCACCUAUCCUUGUAUUGAUAAUGUCCAAUUUAUGGGCCCUUGUGCCGGUAUGCUUGAACAGCAGGGGAUAGGAGUUAACAUACAUAAUAUCACACAGUCAAGAUCCAGGAGAGCACUAGGAUUAAUGAGCAGCUAUGGACCUUGUGGUGCCAUGGGCUAGAUUUAGUUACCAUGAAGUCAUUCUCAAAAAUCCCACUAAUACCCUAGAAAUAUUUGCAGAAAGCACAGACUAGGCUCUUUAAGGAUUAUAAGGAUCCUUAGACUCUCUUGCUAAUGUGAUCCUGACAAUCAUCUGGCUUUGGACUACUUAUUGGCCAGUGAAGGAGGAGUCUGUAUGGUAAUCAACAAAAUCUGUUACACAAACAUCAUUAAUACAGAAACAGUAAAAAUCAAUAUAAAAAUUUAAAAACAGGCACCAUGGCUUCAUAGAUAUAACCAGGUAAUUGAACCAAAUACAAUUUGAGCCACAGUCAGGACAGCUAUCCCUUCAUUAACUUUGUUUUUCCCUUAAUUGGGCCCCCUAUUAAUUUUCAUUAAAAAUCUAAUCUUUGCACCUUGUAUUCUCAAUACAUUAACUUGCCUUAUCCAUUCCAGGCUGAAAGCCAUUAAGAUGCAGAUGGCUGUACAGAUGGAAACCUGCAUAAAUGUACCUGCCAGUUUUUACUGAGGGCCUUUGGACUAUCCUGACGACACCUCUUCGUCUUAAACUCUCCUCGGGAGGACACUCAGACUCAAUCUUCACUACGCCCCUUUUCAGCUUGAAGUAGCCAGAGCGGUCAUCAUCCCAACUCCCUACAAUAGUCAGGGUGUCCUCUGAGGGGGGAUUGAGGGAGAUUCAGAAAUGCAUAGGUAGUCAGGGCAAGAUGGCAAAUGAGGAAGUCAUGGGCAGGCCCAGACAGUAUGAGCACAAAGAGGGUCCUCCAGUAAGGAAAACUUGCCAGUUGAAAAAGUGCUCAUGAACACGAGCAAGGAAUCCAAUCAGGCAGACAUUUCUGUGCUUGUGUACACAAGUACGAGAUCCAAUAAAAAGACUAAGAUAGAUGCAUGGACAUCAGGAGUAUCAAUGAUAGGAGAAUGGAAAGGAGAGAAGAUUUUAAAAAAAGGAAUGGGAGGAAUAUCCAAAGAACAAGUCAGUACUUCCUUAUGGAACUCCCAACUCCUGGGCCCCUUCACUUAAGAGAAGUCUGUUACUUUGUUUCUUUUGCUCUUGCAAUAAAUCCUUUAGCUUGCUAUUCUUUGUGUCCUGUUCUUCAAUUCUUUGCUGAGCAGAGACAAUGAACCCAAGAUCCCUAAA
rnacentral:lncRNA from 1 species